UAUUGGAGAGAAAACUUCAGGGAGCAGCAGAAAAUAAAGAAUGAAAUCAGCUAUUAACAUAAUGAAAUACGUACAUAAAACUUACCUGACUUUUCCAAAGGUGCAGGAAGAGUUGGGGACCCAGCAGGACAGGAUGUGUGAGACUCUGACUACUGCACAAGCUUAUUCAGGAAAAAGAGGAACGUAAUAAUAAGACAUUCAUAAGAAGAAUUCUGAACUAGCAAGAACAGAAAUGCACACAAGACCCAAAGGUUAGAAGAUAGAUAAAACUUCAGAAAACAUCUCAGCAUAAUACUGUGAUGUAAUAUUUGUUUUCUACCUACAGUUUUGCACAAGGACACCAGUGUUCUCAGUUGUUUCUAUUUGUUGUUUGAAAAUUAGUAUGGGCACAGUUCCACAGAGCUGAGUCUUUUCUCAUUCAUACAUGUUCUGUUAAUGCAGAAAAUCCCUUGUAACCUGAGACUUCAUCUUCUAAAACCAGAAGAGCUCAUUUAUCUGUGUGAUAAAUGCUGACUGGUAACAUUUGUUCAGAAUGUAGAGAAUAUGGAAUAAUGACAGGUGAGGAACUGAAAACUGGCAGAUGAUGAUAAAAUUGUAUUUCUUGUAGUAAGGCUCCAAGUGUUAACCUGGAGCUCAUAUUAGCUUUUCCCAGCUCACUUUGGCUAUAAGCAAAAAAAAAA